rnacentral:rRNA from 1 species
ACGCACGCUGGCGGCGUGCUUAACACAUGCAAGUCGAACGGUGAAGGGGUCUGCUUUUGUGGGCCCUGGAUGAGUGGCGAACGGGUGAGUAACACGUGAGUAACCUGCCCCCUUCUUCUGGAUAACCGCAUGAAAGUGUGGCUAAUACGGGAUAUUCUGGGUCUGUCGCAUGAUGGGUCUGGGAAAGAUUGCGCCUUUGGGUGUUUUUGGUGGGGGAUGGGCUCGCGGCCUAUCAGCUUGUUGGUGGGGUGAUGGCCUACCAAGGCGGUGACGGGUAGCCGGCCUGAGAGGGUGGACGGUCACACUGGGACUGAGACACGGCCCAGACUCCUACGGGAGGCAGCAGUGGGGAAUAUUGCACAAUGGGCGCAAGCCUGAUGCAGCGACGCCGCGUGAGGGAUGGAGGCCUUCGGGUUGUAAACCUCUUUCGCCAGUGAAGCAGGCCUGCUCCUUGUGGGUGGGUUGACGGUAGCUGGAUAAGAAGCGCCGGCUAACUACGUG